rnacentral:misc_RNA from 1 species
GAUGAAGAACGCAGCGAAAUGCGAUAAGUAAUGUGAAUUGCAGAAUUCAGUGAAUCAUCGAAUCUUUGAACGCACAUUGCGCCCGCCAGUAUUCUGGCGGGCAUGCCUGUUCGAGCGUCAUUUCAACCAUCAAGCCCCCGGCUUGUGUUGGGGACCUGCGGCUGCCGCAGGCCCUGAAAACCAGUGGCGGGCUCGCUAGUCACUCCGAGCGUAGUAAUACAUCUCGCUCAGGGCGUGCUGCGGGUUCCGGCCGUUAAAAAGCCUUAUUUACCCAAGGUUGACCUCGGAUCAGGUAGGAAGACCCGCUGAACUUAAGCAUAUCAAUAAGCGGAGG